UUUUUCCCCUCCUCCGCAUGCAUGGUUCUGCGUUGGUUUUUAUUUCCCAGCAAGUUCCAGCCCCGUAAUAGAUCAUGGGGGCAGUUUUUAAUUUCUCGCGAAUCCACCUGCCGCCAUCGACGCUCUGGUGAGGCGGGGCUUCCCUCGCGCAGUCCCGGCGAAGCCCUGCGCCGCCAGCUUCCGUGCCGCCCCGGCGAGCUGCAGCCGCCGUUCGGAGAUGUACCCCCUUCUGCUCCCCAAUUUGUCGUGAACCGGCCUCCUGCCGGCUACCAUCUGGUGAGGCGGGGUUCCCCCCUCGCCGACCCGGCGAGGCCCUGCUCCACCAACCCCCGUGCCGCCAUAGCGAGGCCAUGCGCCGCUGAAGACCCCUUCCCGGCGUCUCCAGAUCCCGCGGCGGCGGCGCGCCCCCCGACCGGAUCCGGCGUCGGCGUCCGCGGAUCGAGAUGCAGAGGCGCGGAUCGAGAGCGGCAGCGCCAUGGCUCCCAGAUCCCGGCGGCGGCGGCACAUUGGAGCGCGGUGGCGGCGGAGGCGUGCGACGGCGUCGAGGACCCUAGCGGCGUGCGACGGGGCCGGGCUCCUGGCAACGCGCGGUGAUCCCCGGCUCCCAGCGGCGAGGGCCCCGGCUUCCCUGGCGUCGGCCGCCCGGAGGACCCGUGCCGGCCGCCGCCCCCUGGAUCUCGGCGGCGCGCGGCGCACCUUGCAGGCUGAGACGGCGGGCCAUGCAGGCUGCAUCAAGCGGCGGCGACGGCCCCUGCAGCGGACGACGCGAAGCUGCAGCCGCCGGCCAACGCGGCCACUCCGGCGCCGGUGUUGCCGAUCCGACGGGGCCUUGCGCCGCCGGCUCCUGUGCCACCCCGGCGAGGCCCUGCUCCACCAGCUCCCGUGCCGCCAUAGCGAGGCCAUGCGCCGCUGAAGACCCCCUCCCCCAUCUCGGCAAUGGCACUGGGAACCACCGGCAUGCUCCACUCUCAUAGACAGAACUGACACUAUACAGGCGCGCAGAUGAAGGUGCAUACAAUGCAUCCCUACAUCGCAGCUUUGUCCCUGGCCUGAUUCAUUCAGGUUGAGAUGCGUUUUUUAUCUGCUACUUGCCUGUUCUUGAUCUCGUAUGUGUAGGAGCUUAAUUUUAUUUCCAGAACUCUUUUUCCUUUUCGUUCUAAAAAAACUAUUUUUCCUUUUCUAUUUUCCAUUCGCACAGAUAGAUCUUGCUGCAAUUGAGAUCAAGUACACAUGCAGGUUCGUCAAACAACCACGAAUUCAGCUUUUUACUGCAAUAUCGAUAAGUAAUAUAUGAUAGAAAGUUGGAUUAUUUCUUUUCAUGUGAAAGCACGUUGAGCUCAGAUCUCAUUUGGCCUUGUAGCUUGCUAUUUCUGCACAGCUAUUUAGAUGCAUAGGUACUUGAAUCUGGACUGUUUUAUUUAUCUACUCUUAGUUUAUCUCACUUCUGCGCUAUCUGAAACAUCAGGAGUUGUUGCAUCUCAGUGUUGGUUUCGGGCCUAAUCUUCCAGGGCGUUGUUGGUGCAGUAAUGAAGCUAACUGCUGGUGCUGGUACCAUGGUGUGGAUAUCUAUCAUCUGGGAAGAUUGGCUAGAAGUAGAAGUAUCUUGUGCUGUGCUGCCUUUUGUUUAGGUGCCAUGGUGCUCGUCGGCAAGCUUGGCUAGGCAUCAGAGGAUUUGAGGUGGACACCCUGAUCUCUAUUGACAGUGCCAUCUUUUGGCAGUACCCAUCACCAUUAGAUGUUUAGGGAAAAUUUCCCUUGAUCAUCACUUGAUGGAUUUCUCGCAGAGAGCAUCUGUUGGACAAUAGAUUCUGAGUUUUAUGAGAGGAUGGUAUAUAUAGUAUAGAGCUUUGUAUAGAUCUUUAUGAAAAUGUAAGUUCGGAGUGGCAGAUAACACAAAUAUGACUCCACCUUGUGUGUUUAUGGUAAUUAUGCACCGGCUCGGAAAAAAAAAUGUGUGGUGCUUGUAUGCUCGUGGUCCUGAAUCACAUUUUAUGUUGUCUCAUAGUUCCUGAUGUAAAGAACAUUUAGUUUAAUAAAGACUUGACGCAUUCACCAGCCAA